rnacentral:lncRNA from 1 species
GACAAAAUAACACUUAAAUUAUGUUUGCACUUAUUUAAUAUUUAAAAUUUAGAAUUUAAAUACCAUUUGGACGGAGGGCACUAAAGUGCCCACGGCACCACAUUGCCAACCCCUGUAUUAAAACAUUUAACAAAAAUAUACAUACAAUUAACUUUAAAUACUAUAAAAUUAUGACACAAAAAUAUACAUAUAGAUAGAAUUAAGAAGGGAGAAGAGUUUGCUUCAAAGGACAAUAUUGCAAAACUGGUGACAAUAACACUGCUGUGGCUGAUUUGUCAAUGGAUAAUGGUGUGGUUUUUAUCCCUGGUGACUGCUUGCAAGAAACCUCUGUACAAAUGCCUUCAAAAAGAAGACAUGUGCACAAGCUGUUACUCUUAAGGCAAGUAUGUGGAAAAGGGCAUGGACACUACAAUAUGACCAGAAAACUUAAAUUUAUAUAAAACAAAUUACUUAACUUUUAAUAAUUAAAUCAAAAAUUAUUGUAAAUUAUUGUUUAAAAUCAAAAGAAAUUAUGUGUCAAAUGACCAAAUCAUCAUCACUUUGCCAAUUGGGAACAAGGAAAAGUCCUGAGGAUUGAUAGUAGAUUUAAACCUAUUUAACAAAUUUUAUAUUAAAAUGCUUCUGAGAACUAGCUUAACAGAAAAUAACAAGGAUUCCAUUCAUCAAUUUAAAAUCUUACCAAAAAAUCCGAUAAAAUGGAGUGACGAUAACUCCAUACAAACACUGUGGCAGUUAAGUUCCUCUUUUCUUGACUUCAACUGCACUGAUAAUAAAUCUUGGUUCUAUUUAUACUUUUUGCACCAACAGAUACUAUAACGGUCCUGACUGUCCAAAAUUCAAAGGAUGCAGGCUAUUAUGAAUGUUACAGAAUGAGAAUUCAAAUUUGUGCACUUGCAACAGUUAUAUUAAAGUUGGAUGGCAUGCAACAUUUCCAUUGUCACGGGAAUUCGGUCCUUGUCUCCUCUCAAUUUCUGACUUUCUCAUGGUAUUAAAACUAAGCUGGAUCUUGAAUUCAUGGGACUCCCACUAUCGUAAUGUUGCAUUAAUAGCGUCUACCAAAUAUUCUAUUAACUUCAAGAAAAAGAACUUCGUUUUAUUCAACACAACUAAUUAACUUUACAAUUGGUAAGUAAUAAACAAAAUUAAUAAAUCAAACACUUCUCUUCUCUACAUAUUUACAGAGCUGACUAUUUAAAAUACACAAGGGCAGUACAGAGCCACUACAAAGUCCACAGUAACAAACACUCCACGACACAAUAAAACAAAGCAUCUACAUCCUUGCUGGCUGACGCCACACCUCCAACAUCAACUGUGAGAAGAGAAGACUAGCGCCAUCCAUGGCAACUCUUUUAUGUGUAAUUUAAUUAACAUAAAUGUAACGAGAAAGAAAAUAAAAAUCAUUUCAAACAAAUCUAACUGAAC